GGGAGGGGAAAAAAUAAUAGAAAACGGAAAAGGAAAAGAAGAAGUUGAUCAAAAGUCAAAAAUUUGAUCUCAAGCUAUAAUUUGGAGAAAAUUCAGCAUAGUCAAAGAUCAAUGUAAUAAUUAUCUGUACAAGAGGCAAAUUGCCAAUCAAAUAAGCACUUCCUCAUUGGUAUGAGCAAACAUAACGGCAUCUUUUGAAGAAAAUUUAAGGAAAAACAUAUCACUGAACAUGACAAAGGGAAGAGAAGAGGAGAAAUGCCAUAUUCAACUGUUUGUUAUGCCUGGACUUAAAUUUUAGGUUUCAGCAGUCCCUCAAAUGUCAGAGUUAAUAUGUGACGCCUAGGAACCUACUGAUGAAUCUCCAAGCAAGAGUCUAUCCGCUUGCUGCUGGGAAUAUAAAGUCAACUUCAUUUCAAAUGCAAGCUAAGUGGCUGCAGCAUCAUUAUGGAUAAAAAUUAUUUAUACACUUGCCUGAAAUGAAUUUGCU
rnacentral:misc_RNA from 1 species